rnacentral:rRNA from 2 species
GCUGGUGUCAUCAGCAGUGGGGCUACACCUGUUCCCAUUCCGAACACAGAAGUUAAGUCCGCUUGCGGCGAUGGUAUUGCAGGGUUAACCCUGUGAGAGAGUAGCACGAUGCCAGCG